rnacentral:rRNA from 1 species
GAUGAACGCUGGCGGCGUGCUUAACACAUGCAAGUCGAACGGAAAGGCCCAAGCUUGCUUGGGUACUCGAGUGGCGAACGGGUGAGUAACACGUGGGUGAUCUGCCCUGCACUUCGGGAUAAGCCUGGGAAACUGGGUCUGAUACCGGAUAGGACCACUUCUUGGAUGUUGUGGUGGAAAGUUUUUUCGGUGUGGGAUGAGCUCGCGGCCUAUCAGCUUGUUGGUGGGGUAAUGGCCUACCAAGGCGUCGACGGGUAGCCGGCCUGAGAGGGUGUACGGCCACAUUGGGACUGAGAUACGGCCCAGACUCCUACGGGAGGCAGCAGUGGGGAAUAUUGCACAAUGGGCGCAAGCCUGAUGCAGCGACGCCGCGUGGGGGAUGACGGCCUUCGGGUUGUAAACUCCUUUCGCUAGGGACGAAGCGUUUUGUGACGGUACCUGGAGAAGAAGCACCGGCUAACUACGUG